GCUCCUCCGACGACUACUAGCUCUCGCUUGCUCCGACGACCCCUGCCGGCCGCCUCUGGUACAACGUACGAGAGGAAGAGAGACGAUCGAUGGCCGGCGCCACCGUGACCGUGGACGAGGUGAGGAAGGGCCAGCGCGCGACCGGCCCCGCCACCGUGCUGGCCAUCGGGACGGCGACGCCCGCCAACUGCGUGUACCAGGCCGACUACCCGGACUACUACUUCCGGAUCACCAAGAGCGACCACCUCACCGACCUCAAGGAGAAGUUCAAGAGGAUGUGCGACAAGUCGAUGAUCCGGAAGCGGUACAUGCACCUGACGGAGGAGUUCCUGUCGGAGAACCCGAGCAUGUGCGCGUACAUGGCGCCGUCGCUGGACGCGCGGCAGGACGUGGUGGUGACGGAGGUGCCGAAGCUGGGGAAGGCGGCGGCGCAGAAGGCGAUCAAGGAGUGGGGGCAGCCCAAGUCGCGGAUCACGCACCUGGUGUUCUGCACCACGUCGGGGGUGGACAUGCCGGGCGCCGACUACCAGCUGACCAAGGCGCUGGGGCUGCGCCCGUCCGUGAACCGCCUGAUGAUGUACCAGCAGGGGUGCUUCGCGGGCGGCACGGUGCUGCGCGUGGCCAAGGACCUGGCGGAGAACAACCGCGGGGCGAGGGUCCUGGUGGUGUGCUCGGAGAUCACGGCCGUGACGUUCCGCGGGCCGUCCGAGUCGCACCUGGACUCGCUCGUGGGGCAGGCGCUGUUCGGCGACGGCGCGGCGGCCGUCGUGGUGGGCGCCGACCCGGACGGGCGGGUCGAGCGCCCGCUGUUCCAGCUCGUGUCGGCGGCGCAGACCAUCCUGCCCGACUCGGAGGGCGCCAUCGACGGCCACCUCCGCGAGGUGGGGCUGACGUUCCACCUGCUCAAGGACGUGCCCGGGCUCAUCUCCAAGAACAUCGAGCGCGCGCUGGAGGACGCGUUCGAGCCGCUCGGCAUCUCCGACUGGAACUCCAUCUUCUGGGUGGCGCACCCCGGCGGGCCCGCCAUCCUGGACCAGGUGGAGGCCAGGGUCGGGCUGGACAAGGCCAGGAUGCGCGCCACCCGCCACGUCCUCUCCGAGUACGGCAACAUGUCCAGCGCCUGCGUGCUCUUCAUCCUGGACGAGAUGCGCAAGCGCUCCGCCGAGGACGGCCAGGCCACCACCGGCGAGGGGCUCGACUGGGGCGUCCUCUUCGGCUUCGGCCCGGGCCUCACCGUCGAGACCGUCGUGCUCCACAGCGUCCCCAUCACCACCGGAGCGCCCACCGCCGCCUGAGUCGUCCAUCUAUCCUCGCGAUCGCUCCAGACAUGAACGACCCGACCUACGAAUAAUGUAUCUGCGUAAUUAAUUACUAUCUGUC
rnacentral:misc_RNA from 1 species